GAUGAACGCUGGCGGCGUGCCUAAUACAUGCAAGUCGAGCGAAUGGAUUAAGAGCUUGCUCUUAUGAAGUUAGCGGCGGACGGGUGAGUAACACGUGGGUAACCUGCCCAUAAGACUGGGAUAACUCCGGGAAACCGGGGCUAAUACCGGAUAACAUUUUGAACCGCAUGGUUCGAAAUUGAAAGGCGGCUUCGGCUGUCACUUAUGGAUGGACCCGCGUCGCAUUAGCUAGUUGGUGAGGUAACGGCUCACCAAGGCAACGAUGCGUAGCCGAGCUGGGAGGGUGAUCGGCCACACUGGGACUGAGACACGGCCCAGACUCCUACGGGAGGCAGCAGUAGGGAAUCUUCCGCAAUGGACGAAAGUCUGACGGAGCAACGCCGCGUGAGUGAUGAAGGCUUUCGGGUCGUAGAACUCUGUUGUUAGGGAAGAACAAGUGCUAGUUGAAUAAGCUGGCACCUUGACGGUACCUAACCAGAAAGCCACGGCUAACUACGUGCCAGCCGCCGCCGUAA
rnacentral:rRNA from 1 species